rnacentral:rRNA from 1 species
UACGUAGGGGGCAAGCGUUGUCCGGAAUUAUUGGGCGUAAAGAGCGCGUAGGUGGCCUCAUAAGUCCGCUGUGAAAGUCAAAGGCUCAACCUUUGAAAGCCGGUGGAUACUGUGAGGCUAGAGUACGGAAGAGGCGAGUGGAAUUCCUGGUGUAGCGGUGGAAUGCGCAGAUAUCAGGAGGAACACCGGUGGCGAAGGCGGGUCUCUGGGCCGAUACUGACGCUGAGGAGCGAAAGCGUGGGGAGCGAACAGG